GAUGAAGAACGUAGCGAAAUGCGAUAAGUAAUGUGAAUUGCAGAAUCCCGUGAACCAUCGAGUCUUUGAACGCAAGUUGCGCCCGAAGCCACUAGGCCGAGGGCACGCCUGCCUGGGCGUCACACGCCGUUGCCCCCCCAUCUACUCCUUCGGGAUUGCGGGGGGGCGGAUGAUGGCCUCCCGUGCGCCUAGCCGCGCGGUUGGCAUAAAUACCAAGUCCUCGGCGACGCACGCCACGACAAUCGGUGGUUGCGAAACCUCGGUUGCCCGUCGUGUGCGUUCGUCGCGCAUCGAGGGCUCGAAAAAAUGCUCGGCUCCGGCUGGGCUUUCAACGCGACCCCAGGUCAGGCGGGGUUACCCGCUGAAUUUAAGCAUAUCAAUAAGCGGAGGA
rnacentral:misc_RNA from 1 species